GGAGCGUUAUAACCGGCAGGAGG
rnacentral:siRNA from 1 species